rnacentral:rRNA from 1 species
UACGGAGGGUGCAAGCGUUGUCCGGAAUUACUGGGUGUAAAGGGUGCGCAGGCGGACUUGUGCGUCAGAGGUUAAAUACCCCGGCUCAACCGGGGAAAUGCCUUUGAAACGGCAGGUCUUGAGUGCGAGAGAGGAUGGUAGAAUUCCUGGUGUAGCGGUGAAAUGCGUAGAUAUCAGGAGGAAUACCAGUGGCGAAGGCGGCCAUCUGGCUCGCAACUGACGCUCAGGCACGAAAGCGUGGGGAGCAAACAGG